UUUGAAUAUUUUACACUAACAGAUUUAAAAAUUAAAAAUAAAACCCCUCCCUGUCUCCUCCCAAACCCAUCCCUUAAACCUAUUAAAUUGAAUAAUUGUUCAUUUCUUACUCACUGUAACUUGUAUUCUUUAUUCUUUAAUUCUUG